CCCUCCCCCUCCUCCUCCUCCUCCUCCUGCCCGGGGACUUCCCGAGCUCCGCCGGUUCCCGCCCACCGGCGGCAGGGGCUGGCUGCCAGCCUCCCUCAGGCUGCCGGGCCUCCCGUCCCAGCGCCCUCGCCCUCGCCCGGGCCCUCAGCGUCUCCCUGUCCUCACGCAUCCCUCGGCGUUUCCCGCCCGGAGGAGCCCAGGGCCGGCCAGCCGAGCGGGGAUUUAGGAUGGGGUUUGCCCCGCUGUGGGGAUGUAGCCCGUUAGUGGCUGUCAGAGGACACGGUUGGAUGCGGCGUCUGGCCCGGGAAGUGCUUCGAGGCCUGGUUCUCGGGGAUGGGGGUGGUUGGGGCAGUUCGGCUCACACGGUCGCAGGGCUUAGUGACUGUCCUUAGCGGGGUGCUGGGCUGGAACUGCCUCGCAGUGCCCGUUCUUAGGUAAUAGGGCCGACUUUGGACUUUUGGUCCCUUCGUUUUCAAUGGGAAAAAUGCCAUUUUACUUAAAAUGUCAGCUUUCCGCCUGGGAAAGACCAAUCUUUCAUUAAAUAACCGCAUGGCUUGAAAAUAAGCUCUUCUGAUUUGAAAACGCUGUGCUCUGAUACCUCCUAGGAAUUGUGAACUGUCUGCUGUUUAAUGAAAUCGUGCCUUUCUGCGGACUGGUAUCCUCAGCUGCCCUCCGAGCGCUGCAGCCAGGGACUCCCCAGCACAAGAAGGGAGGUGCACGGAUCCCUCUCCAGAGGCACCCAGCUCGAGCUGUCCUAUACUGCUGUACCACUCAAUAAAUUUGUCUGAUGUAUGUCGUGUCAGAGACUCUUCUUCAGGAAAGCUAGAGCUGAGCCUGAGGGAAGACGAAACACCUGAGGGUCGUGGGUAACACGCAGGAGCGGAGUGUGUUGGGUCUGUGAAGGAAGGAGACUUCUGUUCUAACUCCCGUCUCAGCGUUGCCUUCUUGCUUCUGACUGAUGCUGUGGUAGCUGCUGGAAACUCCUGAUUUUGGCCAGGAUCCCAUAGAUACUGUACAGACGUAGCCCAAAGACUGACUUCUCUCGCAGGACACUAUGAAUAUACACUACACCAGUCUGGAUUGCUUCCUCUGAGCAGCUCAGGUUCCUAAAGGAGCUUUGCUUUAUUCUUGCCACAGAGGUAUCCACAGGUCCAUGGAAGGACUACUACCCUUGAUUAAUACCUGGGCUUCUUGCCAAUGUAAAUGCUGGAGUGUUUGCUGUGACUUCAGAUUUGCUGAUUAAGCUUAAUUUCCAAUUGAUAGGUAAUUUGAAAACACCGCAAAAGAUAUGUUCUUUCAGGCUUUGAGCAGACUAAGUGGGGGAGAGGGGAUGUUACGAAGUGCAUCCAACUUCUGCAGUCAGCAGCACUGUGUGAUGAAUGUCACCAUAACCUACAGAGAAGUAAGAUAAUGAAAUGCUUUCAUUUCUUCUGACAGUUAAAUGCUAACAUGGCCUGGAGAGGGCUCAGAGCCAGCUGGUAAAAUUACAUUAAACAGUGUCAGGCCUUAAAUUAUCAUCUACAGUAAGACAACUACAAAGAGCGUGAAAGUCUCAUGUAUGAUCUGAAUGUUUAUCUGCCAUUAACAGAUGGUAUGUUCAAUCUGGGAUCACCAUGGAUUUUUGAUUAUCAGUCCAGUAUUGAACCUAUUUCUAUUAAUAACUGUUAUUACCUUCAAAGGGAGAAUCAUCAAAUGCAAAGUCCAGGAAGCCAAGAGAUGACAGAAAUAAAACAGUAGAAAAAAGUGACCCAAGAUCAUGGUUUUAGUCUGACAACCCUGUUGUGGGCAGGAUAUGUGAAGCAAAGGUAGUGCCAAGGAAUGUAUCUAACUAAUUGCUUUUGGCCCAUUCCGUGCCGUUUAAUACAGUGUGUCAUGUACCACUUUCCCUCCCACAUACAGCUGAAUCGAUAACUUCUUUUACAACUGCAAUUAUAUAACAUCUCUGUGCAAUGACAUAGAAAAGUAAAAAUAGUACCUCUAGCACAGCUCUUAGAUGAUCUAAUUCGGAGCUUGCUCGUAUGUAGAGAAAUUUGUAUGUAACGGUUUUCCUUUUCAGCUUUUUCCAUCCUCAAAUGAGUUGCAGUUUGAUUGUGCCGAAUUGCUGGAAUUCCUCACUCUCAGCUCUGAUUUCUUUCUUGAAACAAACUCAUUCUGUCACCAGUCAAAAAUAUUAUCUGUAAUCUUUUUUUUCUAAUAAAUUUGGUGAUUGGAGUCAAA